rnacentral:rRNA from 1 species
CGGCAGGCUACCAUGCAAGUCGAGCGGUAGAGAGGUGCUUGCACCUCUUGAGAGCGGCGGACGGGUGAGUAAUGCCUAGGAAUCUGCCUGGUAGUGGGGGAUAACGCUCGGAAACGGACGCUAAUACCGCAUACGUCCUACGGGAGAAAGCAGGGGACCUUCGGGCCUUGCGCUAUCAGAUGAGCCUAGGUCGGAUUAGCUAGUUGGUGGGGUAAUGGCUCACCAAGGCGACGAUCCGUAACUGGUCUGAGAGGAUGAUCAGUCACACUGGAACUGAGACACGGUCCAGACUCCUACGGGAGGCAGCAGUGGGGAAUAUUGGACAAUGGGCGAAAGCCUGAUCCAGCCAUGCCGCGUGUGUGAAGAAGGUCUUCGGAUUGUAAAGCACUUUAAGUUGGGAGGAAGGGCAGUUACUUAAUACGUGACUGUCUUGACGUUACCGACAGAAUAAGCACCGGCUAACUCUGUGCCAGCAGCCGCGGUAAUACAGAGGGUGCAAGCGUUAAUCGGAAUUACUGGGCGUAAAGCGCGCGUAGGUGGUUCGUUAAGUUGGAUGUGAAAUCCCCGGGCUCAACCUGGGAACUGCAUUCAAAACUGUCGAGCUAGAGUAUGGUAGAGGGUGGUGGAAU